GCCUUCGUGGUGUAGCGGUUAGCACUCUCGUUGCGAAUUCCAGAUGUCCGUGGUUCGAGUCCCGGAGAGGGCA
rnacentral:tRNA from 1 species